CUCGCUUUUUGGCCUUUUAGCUAAGAUCAUAUUUGGUAUCUGUUCUUAUCAGUUUAAUAUUUGAUGCAUCCCUUAUUUAGCUGUUGGCGUGGUGCAGUGGUAGAGGUCAGAGUUCCGGGUUCGAUCCUAACUACUGGCGCUGUCUGUACAGAGUUUGCACGUUCUCCCUGUGACCGCGUGGGCUUUC